AUUGAACGCUGGCGGCAUGCCUUACACAUGCAAGUCGAACGGCAGCGCGGACUUCGGUCUGGCGGCGAGUGGCGAACGGGUGAGUAAUGUAUCGGAACGUACCAUUGAGUGGGGGAUAACGUAGCGAAAGUUACGCUAAUACCGCAUAUUCUCUCCGGAGGAAAGCAGGGGACCGCAAGGCCUUGCGCUCUUUGAGCGGCCGAUAUCAGAUUAGCUAGUUGGUGGGGUAAAAGCUCACCAAGGCGACGAUCUGUAGCGGGUCUGAGAGGAUGAUCCGACACACUGGAACUGAGACACGGUCCAGACCCCUGCGGGAGGCAGCAGUGGGGAAUUUUGGACAAUGGGGGCAACCCUGAUCCAGCCAUGCCGCGUGAGUGAAGAAGGCCUUCGGGUUGUAAAGCUCUUUCGGCCGGGAAAAAAUCGCAUGGAUUAAUACUCUGUGUGGAUGAUGGUACCGGAAUAAGAAGCACCGGCUAACUACGUGCCAGCCGCCGCCGUAAUAC
rnacentral:rRNA from 1 species